rnacentral:rRNA from 1 species
CCUACGGGUGGCUGCAGUGAGGAAUAUUGGUCAAUGGACGAGAGUCUGAACCAGCCAAGUCGCGUGAGGGAAGAAUGUCCUAUGGAUUGUAAACCUCUUUUGUCAGGGAGCAAAGUCACCCACGUGUGGGUGUUGGUAAGUACCUUAUGAAAAAGCAUCGGCUAACUCCGUGCCAGCAGCCGCGGUAAUACGGAGGAUGCGAGCGUUAUCCGGAUUUAUUGGGUUUAAAGGGUGCGUAGGCGGGUUAUCAAGUCAGCGGUAAAAUCUUGGAGCUCAACUCCAUCCAGCCGUUGAAACUGGUGAUCUUGAGUGUGGUAGAAGUAUGCGGAAUUCGUGGUGUAGCGGUGAAAUGCAUAGAUAUCACGCAGAACUCCGAUUGCGAAGGCAGCAUACUGGCGCCCGACUGACGCUGAAGCACGAAAGUGUGGGUAUCGAACAGGAUUAGAUACCCCAGUAGUC